CCUGUCUAAUUGAGCCAGCAGCCCAGCACCGAACCACCUCUUUCCUUUUGCACCCGUAGAAAACGAUGCCCAAAAUCCUGUUGCGGCGGCGGCCGCCGCUGCCGAUGACUCCAUGCAGGAUGCAGAUCCCGCACCUCGCCGCUGCAGCCCUCGAAUCGUCAAUCAGCAGCAUCUUGGGUUCAUCGUCCCACCCCUUGGUCAGCAGCGCUACCCACCAAUGGUAGGCACCGACAUUGCUGCAUCACGGACUCAUGGUGGCCGUCGUUCUUGGUGCACUGGUGGCCCCUAAUCCCCAUCCGCAUAGUGGGGACAAGAUCCUGAGCCGGAUUGACCGCUAUUGUUGCCGCUUCGCACGUACUACACACGUCAGAUAACACGGAGGUUCGCUGAUUGCCAAAGCUAGAUGACGAAUCUGGGCAAGUACAUGAGAUGUUCCUGGCAUCACCGCACCAAAUUCUCUGACACAUUCAACACCAAGCAAUAUUUUGUGGCAGUGCAAGCAUGUAUUAUUUCACAGAUUGAGAGCCAUGGAGAGGAGGAUCUGAUUUUUUCAGUUGAUUAGGAGCGUCAUUGACAGUUUCACUAUUUUUGGUUACUCUAAAUGAAUGACCAGUUACAUGUCAUUGAUUCUGAUGUGAUUCUCGUGACGCUGCGGCGAGCAAGGAACUGACAUUGCUAGUCCUAUGAUGUGCACCUAAAAAGACUAUGUGUUUCAGUGUUAGAUAGAAUGUGCAAGCAAAGAAAUUCAGAUUGUAUCAUUUUUCAGUAUUUUUUGGCUCCUAAUGCUCUAAUUACUUUGGAGGAUGGCACAUGUAGUUUUUACAAUGUGGAGUAGGGCCAUGAUAUAUUGCAACAUGCAAGACUGAAUUUUGUAAAUAUGUUAUUGCAAGUAUAUGUGAGAAGAAGGUUAUGGUAAUUCUGUAGAGGCACUAUA